rnacentral:lncRNA from 1 species
UGUAAUUUAUCUCUCUACCACCAUAACCAUCACCGCACCACCACCACCUCCACCACCGCACCACCAUCAUCCCUACCGCACCAUCAUCAGCACCACCACACCACCAUCAUCCUCACCAUCGCACGACCAUCCCCACCAUCGUCCCCCCAAUCCACCAUCAUCCCCACCAAAAUAGCUUUGCAGAUCCGGCGAAAAAUACACAGAUCCGGACCAAACUGUCCAGAUCCAACGGCAAGAGAUAGAGUUCCGAGAGUUACCGGGUACGCCUCCACCGCUGAUAAAAGCUUAAUCGAUCCUGCUGAAACCGCCUACAGCAGCCACUCCAUUGUUUCUGAAGGUGAUUUUGUUUGAAACGAUUUAAAUGAUUUGAUGGUUUAGAGCUGUUGUUCUUAAUUGUAGAAGAAAACAGAGUGUGCGUGUGGUUGUUUGUGUUGAGAGAAUUUUAUAGAGUCUUGCCUUUAAAAUGGAAAUGAAAGAGCAGACUUUUGUGUUUGAGAAUUAUAUUUGAGUGGGCUAAUGAAAGCGGUAAGGGUGGAUGGUGGAGGUGAGAUGGUGGUGGGUGGUGUGGUGUUGAUGGUGGAGGUCAGACGGUGAUGGAGGGUUUUCAAUAGCGGUGGUAAGACAGUGGUGGGUGGUGUCGGUGGUGUUGAUGGUUGUGGAGGAUGCAGGUGAUGAAUAUUCAAAGAUAUAUAUAAGAGAGAGAAAAAUGUAAUAAUAUUUUUUUUUUAAUUA